rnacentral:rRNA from 1 species
AGAGCGCAGGGUGGAUGCCUUGGCACUAAGAGCCGAUGAAAGACGUGAUAAGCUGCGAAAAGCUUCGGGGAGGAGCAAAUAUCCAUUGAUCCGGAGAUAUCUGAAUGGGGAAACCCGGCUGAGCAAACCUCAGUCAUCCAUACGCCAAUCCAUAACGUAUGGAAGGGAACCCGGUGAACUGAAACAUCUAAGUAGCCGGAGGAAAAGAAAGAAAACUCGAUUUCCAGAGUAGCGGCGAGCGAAAUGGAAAGAGCCUAAACCAGCGUGCGUGCAUGCUGGGGUUACGGACUGCACAAGUCAUUGUGGAAGGUUAAGGGAACGGUUUUGGGAAAGCCGGCCAGAGAGGGUGAAAGCCCCGUACCUGAAAACCAGACACAGGCGGCAGGAUCCAGAGUACCACGAGACACGAGAAACCUUGUGGGAAGUCGGGGGGACCACCCCCCAAGGCUAAAUACUACUUAGUGACCGAUAGCGCAUAGUACUGUGAAGGAAAGGUGAAAAGGACCCCGGGAGGGGAGUGAAAGAGAACCUGAAACCCUGUGUUUACAAGCUGUGGAACAUCUAUAUACGAUGGACCGCGUACUUUUUGUAGAACGGUCCGGCGAGUUACGCUGGCUGGCAAGGUUAAGGACCUAAGGUCCGGAGCCGGAGGGAAACCAAGUCUUAAUAGGGCGAAAUAGUCAGCCAGAGUAGACCCGAAACCGGGUGAUCUACCCAUGUCCAGGCUGAAGUUGCCGUAAAAGGCAAUGGAGGGCCGAACGCACAUCCGUUGAAAAGGGUGGCGAUGAGGUGUGGGUAGGGGAGAAAUUCCAAUCGAACCCGGAGAUAGCUGGUUCUCCUCGAAAUAGCUUUAGGGCUAGCCUCGACAGAGUCUGAUGGAGGUAGAGCACUGAAUUUCCUAGGGGGCGUCAAAGUCUACCGAAGAAUAUCAAACUCCGAAUGCCAUCAAGAUGCUUGUCGGGAGUCAGACUGCACGAGAUAAGUUGGGUAGUCAAAAGGGAAAGAGCCCAGACCUCCAGCUAAGGUCCCAAAGUGCGUGUUAAGUGGAAAAGGAUGUGGGAUUUCAAAGCAACCAGGAUGUUGGCUCAGAAGCAGCCAUACAUUCAAAGAGUGCGUAAUAGCUCACUGGUCGAGAGGUCCUGCGCCGAAAAUGUCCGGGGCUGAAACACGACACCGAAGCUGAGGAAUUUAACGUCUGUUGAAUUGGUAGAGGAGCAUUGCAUACGCGAGGAAGCAGUACCGUAAGGAGCUGUGGAGUGUAUGGAAGAGAGAAUGCCGGAAUGAGUAGCGAGAUGGAGGUGAGAAUCCUCCAGGCCGAAUAUCCAAGGUUUCCAGAGUAAAGCUGAUCUGCUCUGGGUAAGUCGGGACCUAAGGCGAGGCCGAGAGGCGUAGCCGAUGGACAACAGGUUGAGAUUCCUGUACUGCUGUAUAUCAGAACUGUGGGGACACAGAGGGAAAGCACAGGCGCGGAACGGAAAGCCGCGUGCAAGCGAGGUACCGGACUGGUAGGAAAAACCGCCAGCCAACGGGAAGACGUGAUGCGGACCGAAAUUUAGUAGGGAAGUGUGUGAGCCAGCUGUCAAGAAAAGCCGCUAUUGUGUAUACAGUACCCGUACCGUAAACCGACACAGGUGGAUGAGGAGAGAAUCCUAAGGCCGGCGGAAGAAGUAUUGUCAAGGAACUCGGCAAAAUGACCCUGUAACUUCGGGAGAAAGGGUGCCUCGAAAGAGGCCGCAGAGAAUUGGCCCAAGCAACUGUUUAGCAAAAACACAGGUCUAUGCGAAACCGAAAGGUGAGGUAUAUGGGCUGACGCCUGCCCGGUGCUGGAAGGUUAAGGGGAGAUGUUAGAGCAAUCGAAGCAUCGAACUUAAGCCCCAGUAAACGGCGGCCGUAACUAUAACGGUCCUAAGGUAGCGAAAUUCCUUGUCGGGUAAGUUCCGACCCGCACGAAAGGCGUAAUGAUUUGGGCGCUGUCUCGACAAUACAUCCGGUGAAAUUGAAGUGCCAGUGAAGAUGCUGGCUACCUGCGCCAGGACGGAAAGACCCCAUGGAGCUUUACUCCAGCUUGAUACUGGGACCCGGUAUUGCAUGUACAGGAUAGGUGGGAGGCUAGGAAAUGUGGACGCCAGUCUGCAUGGAGCCGCUGUUGGGAUACCACCCUUGUGGUGCUGGGUUUCUAACCAGAGGCCGUGAACCGGUCUGGGGACAAUGUCAGGUGGGGAGUUUGACUGGGGCGGUCGCCUCCGAAAGGGUAUCGGAGGCGCCCAAAGGUUCCCUCAGAAUGGUUGGAAACCAUUCGAAGAGUGCAAAGGCAGAAGGGAGCUUGACUGCGACACCGACGGGUGGAGCAGGUACGAAA